rnacentral:rRNA from 1 species
CAAUAGCGUAUAUUAAAGUUGUUGCAGUUAAAAAGCUCGUAGUUGGAUUUCUGGUCGGAAGCUCCUGUCCUCUGAUGAGCGUACAAGUGCGUCCUACCAUCCUUCUGUUAACCUUUAAGGCUUUCGCGGCUUUCUAGGGGCUCAGAUAUUUUACCUUGAGAAAAUUAGAGUGUUUCAGGCAGGCUAGCGCCGGAAUACAUUAGCAUGGAAUAAUGGAAUAGGACUUUUGCCUCUUCUGUUGGUCAUGAGGCUCGAGUAAUGAUUAAUAGUGAUAGUUGGGGGCAUUAGUACUUAACUGUCAGAGGUGAAAUUCUCGGAUUUGUUAAAGACUAACUUAUGCGAAAGCAUUUGCCAAGGAUGUUUUCAUUAA